GGCUGGCUCAAAGGUAGUGAGUUCUACCAAUGUAUUGUCCACAGUCAGUUACAGACCAAAUUCCUUGUUCUACUCUUUCCCCCGUCCUCACUAAUGCACUUGACUAGUCUUUA
ensembl:misc_RNA Y_RNA Y RNA